AACGCACAUUGCGCCUGCUAGCAUUCUGGCAGGCAUGCCUGUUCGAGCGUCAUUUCAACCCUCAAGCCAUUAUGGUUUGGUGUUGAGGUUCUAUAAUUUAUAGGCCUCUAAAUCUAUUGGCGGAACGUCAAAAACUCCCAAGUGUAGUAAAUUUUCUUUACUUGAGGUAAUUUUUGAUGAUACUUGCCGUAAAACUCUGGUUUGGACUCUCUUUUGAGUCCCUCCUAUUUUACAAGGUUGACCUCGGAUCAGGUAGGAAUACCCGCUGAACUUAA
rnacentral:misc_RNA from 1 species